rnacentral:rRNA from 1 species
GACGAACGCUGGCGGCGUGCUUAACACAUGCAAGUCGAGCGGUAAGGCCCUUUCGGGGGUACACGAGCGGCGAACGGGUGAGUAACACGUGGGUGACCUGCCCUCAGCUCUGGGAUAAGCCUGGGAAACUGGGUCUAAUACCGGAUAUGACCCCAUGACGCAUGUCGUGGGGUGGAAAGCCUUGUGCGGCUGAGGAUGGGCCCGCGGCCUAUCAGCUUGUUGGUGGGGUGAUGGCCUACCAAGGCGACGACGGGUAGCCGGCCUGAGAGGGCGACCGGCCACACUGGGACUGAGACACGGCCCAGACUCCUACGGGAGGCAGCAGUGGGGAAUCUUGCGCAAUGGGCGAAAGCCUGACGCAGCGACGCCGCGUGAGGGAUGACGGCCUGGUUGUAA